rnacentral:ncRNA from 1 species
CGGCUCUGGAGAACGCCCCGCAGGGGGGGCUGCCGAAGGUGCAACGCGUGCGGCUGGGGGCCGCGCGCCAAUCUCUCAGGCAAAAGGACAGAGUUUG